rnacentral:rRNA from 1 species
UAGGGAAUCUUCCACAAUGGACGAAAGUCUGAUGGAGCAACGCCGCGUGAGUGAAGAAGGGUUUCGGCUCGUAAAACUCUGUUGUUAAAGAAGAACAUAUCUGAGAGUAACUGUUCAGGUAUUGACGGUAUUUAACCAGAAAGCCACAGCUAACUACGUGCCUG